AACGAAAGGCAGGCGGGUAGCACGGCAAACGCCGCCCAGAAGAGUGAUUUCAGGUAAGACAUCCCAAUUCCAGACUCCUGGCCUGUCCUCGAAAUGGGAAUCUCAGAGCUACAGCAGACAAUGAUCCCAGGAAAACAUAAGGAUUCAUUAAGCACCAACAGCUUCCUCUGCAGCCUUUUAUGGAACAGCAUUUAUCCAGGACCAAGGGUGACUGUGAGAACAUGCUGAGGAAUAAUGUCUGAGAGAAAACCUUCAUGCUUCACUGAAUAGUCAUUUUUUGUCAUAAAGAAAGAAACAUCUUGAUUU